rnacentral:rRNA from 1 species
AACAGGAUUAGAUACCCUGGUAGUCCACGCCGUAAACGAUGAGUGCUAGGUGUUGGGGGUUUCCGCCCUCUGUGCCGAAGGUAACCCAAUAAGCACUCCGCCUGGGGAGUACGGCCGCAAGGCUGAAACUCAAAGGAAUUGACGGGGGCCCGCACAAGCGGUGGAGCAUGUGGUUAAUUCGAAGCAACGCGAAGAACCUUACCAGGUCUUGACAUCCCGCUGAUCGGUGUAGAGAUAUGCCUUUCCUUCGGGACAGCGGUGACAGGUGGUGCAUGGUUGUCGUCAGCUCGUGUCGUGAGAUGUUGGGUUCAGUCCCGCAACGAGCGCAACCCUUGUCGUCAGUUGCCAGCACGUAGAGGUGGGCACUCUGGCGAGACGGCCGGUGAAAGCCGGAGGAAGGUGGGGAUGACGUCAAAUCAUCAUGCCCCUUAUGACCUGGGCUACACACGUGCUACAAUGGCCGGUACAACGGGUAGCGAACCCGCGAGGGGGAGCCAAUCCAAAAAACCGGUCUCAGUUCGGAUCGCAGGCUGCAACUCGCCUGCGUGAAGCUGGAAUCGCUAGUAAUCGCGGAUCAGCAUGCCGCGGUGAAUCCGUUCCCGGGCCUUGUACACACCGCCCGUCACACCACGAGAGUCUGCAACACCCGAAGUCGGUGAGGUAACCUUCGGGAACCAGCCGCCGAAGGUGGGGCAGAUGAUUGGGGUGAAGUCGUAACAAGGUAACC